rnacentral:rRNA from 1 species
AUUGAACGCUGGCGGCAGGCCUAACACAUGCAAGUCGAGCGGAGCGGCGGACGGGUGAGUAAUGCCUAGGAAUCUGCCUGGUAGUGGGGGAUAACGUCCGGAAACGGGCGCUAAUACCGCAUCCUAUCAGCUGAGCCUAGUUCGGAUUAGCUAGUGGGGGGGGUAAAGGCCUACCAAGGCGACGAUCCGUAACUGGUCUGAGAGGAUGAUCAGUCCCACGGGAACUGAGACAGGGUCAAGACUCAGACGGGGGGCAGAAGUGGGGAAUAUGGGACAAUGGGCGAAAGCCGGAUGCAGCCAGGCCGGGUGGGUGAAGAAGGUCUUCGGAUUGUAAAGCACGUUAAGUGGGGAGGCGGUACCAAAAGAAUAAGCACCGGCUAACUUCGUGCCAGCAGCCGCGGUAAUAC